rnacentral:tRNA from 1 species
GCCACCUUAGCUCAGUUAGUAGAGCAGCCGAUUUGUAAUCGGCAGGUCGUCGGGGCAGGGCCGACAGGUGGCU